GACGUAGGUGGCGAACGUUAUCCGGAAUUAUUGGGCGUAAAGGGUGCGUAGAUGGCCUAGUAAGUUAUCGGUGGGAAAUCGAGGCCCAACCUCGUGGAAGCUGGUAAUACUGUUAGGCUUGAGUUCAGGAGAGGUUAACGGAACUCCAUGUGGAGCGGUAAAAUGCGUAGAUAUCUGGAGGAACACCGGUGGCGAAGGCGGCAUCCUGGACCGGUAUUGACGCUGAGGCGCGAAAGCUAGGGGAGCAAACGGG
rnacentral:rRNA from 1 species